GGCGUCCUGGCUCCCCCUUGCCGUAGCAUUUGUGUUGUACCUCGUCAAUCUCUAGCUGUGAGAGCAGUCCCAACUAUGUUGAGCUUAAAGUCAGAGUUGUUAGUGUCUCUUUGCCUGCCUAAAUCACUGUGUUAACUUAUGCUGAAUACAUCAGGAGCAUAACCUGCUCCUGAUGUUUUGGUUUCGGUUUAAAAUAAUCUGGAAGCACUUAUUGUUCACUUAAUUUUUUUGUUUACAGAUUGUUUUAAGUCAAUAUGUAUUCUGUGCCACUGAAACCACUAAAUGAACUGCAAACUGUGAACUGUAUUGUCCCUGGAAUGUGCAUGUAUUAAUUUAGAGAUUGUAAAAAUGUAAAAAUGUUGUUGUGCUUGAUCUGAAUGGCACUGCUCACGGUGACACAGACAUACCGUGCUUUUAAUUUUUCUCAUUCUUCUAACGCGAUGCUUGAAAGUUUGAGUAGACAUGGAACGGCAGCCUCGUUUGGCUUGCUUACAGUAAAGUCAGAAUUAAACAUUAAGAAAUGAAUGAAAAAAUGAAAAUACGAGAACAUGAGAUUAUUCUUCACGGGCUCAUAAGGCCGAUAAUGAUCCAUCACGUAUCCAUUUCCUGGAGUAGAGUAAGCGACUGCCAAACAAAUCACUUUAGGCUCUCACUGCUCUCAGCAUCUAUUGCACUAAAGAUUCACACAUUUUAAUAAGUCUGGAGUCAUAUCAUCGUGUUUUUGAGUGUUUGCUGAAGUUGUAUUAUGGGAAAUGUCGGCUGAUUUGAUUACACACUCAGCAUUAAAAUAACAAACUGGAAUUUAAUUGGGUUUUUUUCACUGCUCGGCAUCCUACAUUGUAAGAGCAACGGUGCUCCCCCCGACCCCGUCACAAUCAGCUGUUUCCUUUUAUUACAAUAACUUCAGCAUAUCUUAUUAAGCCGUGUGAAGUUUGUGUUCAGGCCCUCAGCUGACACAAGUGUGGUCCAGAUUUGUCCUAACAGAAAGUUUUAGAGGUGAAAAACAUUUCCUUAAAACUGUACCAAAUCACUUUUACACUCUCUCCAAGUUUGACAAUUUAAAGUUUGCUUUAUUUAUCCCCCAUGAUGAAAUGAGCCUUGACAGUUUACCCACCAUGCACAAAACCUUCCAGGUUUUCACCAGUGAGUUAUCAGAAAACAGAUCAAAAAUUCAGGGCAACAAUGCUGGAAUUCUUCUAAACUGGUGCAGUUUAUUUAAAACUAUUGAUGCCAGGCUAGAUGAUGCCAGGACACUGAUGAUCAGAGUUGGUAAAAGAACAAAAAACAGAUUCUGGCUUUAGACACUUGCGGGUGUCUAAAGCCAGUUGUGUUAUAAUGGAAGCUAUUACCAGUACUGACCAUGAUGUUACAUAAGAGAUGUCAUGACUAAGCAGAAGUUUGAGUAAAUGAGUUGUUUGUUUGAGAAUUUGUUAGCAGCUGCCUCCGAGUUUAAUGUUCAGCCCUCGGCCUGAAAACAAAGGUCCCCAUUUUGUCUAAAGAAGACAGCCAUGGCCCGAAGCCUCUGUAGCCUGAGUUCAAAUGAAAUUUGGUUUGUGAACUCUGAUUAUCACAAGAGUGAGUGAGAAUUAACAUGAAUAUGCAUACAACUUCACUUUCACUUAAACAAAUGUUCCUGCUGUCGUCUCAUAAUGAUUUCUGCUGUAUUCUCUCUGUAGGUUACACCCGACCACACCUGCGUACCGGUGCUGGGCUCUUAUCUUUGAUCAGUGUAACUGUUCAUUGUUCAGUUUUGGGAAGUAUUUGCCUUUGUGAUCAUAGUUUGCAUACAAACAGUGCAUCAAAGGACACUGACAGAAAGGAUAGAGACAGAUUAUCUUUAUUUAGAGACAUGACUCUGUACUAGGGCAUUUCCAGGCUUCUUAUAUCCCAAUGUGUUUGCAAAAAACACUAAUCAGCACCAGAAGAUAUGACGUUACAGAGUCAAAAACAGCAUGAGAUGUAAGAACUGAGCUGAUCAGAUAUCCGCCUGUGUUGGCCAAUGCUGUGAGUUAAACUUUGUUUUUGUAUCUGUUAAUAACAUGAGACAGGAAAACCUGGGGGAAAUUGUUUCUGGUUUUCCACGCCAACCACACUGGAUUUGGUAACAUUCAGAUUUGACCAGUGGCCAGUAUUUCCCCCUGACACCACUCACAAAAAUCUGGAUUGUUCUUUCUUUUUGUCUUGUUGUUUUUGCUAAAUUGUUGCAGCUUAUUCAAACUCUAAUAUAUUCAAUAAUCCUCUGACCUGAAUGUCAGAACUUGGCUCUGUGCAAAGAUGGCAACCAUUCAAGCAUGAUUCGAAAAGUAGUCGAAAAAAAUGUUUAGUGCUGUGAUGAAACAGCAACUUGAUGUGAGAGCUCUGUGAUCUUGUGACCUAUUUUACCCCCCUGUAAGCUUUCCUUUGUGGGUUUGAUUGUUUGAGAAAACCACCAUAAAACUGUGAAGUAACGCUGCUAAGGUGUUGAGUCACCAGAAAAGACUUCCAGAUGUGGUUAUAUGAACAUAAGCUGCACAUUUAUCGAUUUAGUGCUCUGUUUGGCAGGGAUGCUCCAGUUCAUAUGUGCCUCUAAUGCUUCGAAUGCACCGUAGGGCAUGCUAUACUUAUAUACCAACUUCUUAUUUCCUGCUUUUGUCACCGUUGCUAUGAUAUAACCACACAAACUUUCACAUUAAACCAUAAGUAUGAGUCUACACGUCUUCAUCUCGGUCUUCGGGUCACCUCACUGAGAGUUAGAUUUUAAUUGAAUGUAACUCUUUAACACCUCUCAGGUUAAAGUUCAACCAUAAAUCCUCUCACAUGUUAACAGCUUGAACUUUGACGCUUCACUUUUUCACUUUCAGACAACAUUAUAUUGAAUGAAAGAGCAAUUUGCUCGCAUUCAAAGACAAGCUAGCAUUAGCUAACAUUAGCCAGAAUGAAGGGAGCUCAAGGCCAGACUUCCUGUCCUGUAGAGGUCUGUAGGGAAGCAACGCUCGGCCUUGACCUCAGUAAACAAUUUGCUGGUGAGUUCAUGGUCUAAAAUAGGUUUGCUGUAUGAAACCCAGUUUGGGACCACAAAAUGUAAAACUGCUGCUUGUGUUGUGCUGGGAUUUGGUUGUUUGGUGAAAAAUAUAAAAAAUAUAAAAAAAUAUCCUUCAGUUUUCCUCACUACACUUUCAGUGACACAUUAAAAGUGACUUUGCUUUAAAUAAAAUGUUCCUUUCGCCCUUCCUAUCACUCACACUCAGACAUGUUUACUGUUGAGAAUGAACUCUCAGCUCAGCUGUUUUCACUCUGUAGAUUGUAACUGUUCAGCUGUCCAAACAUGUACACAACCUUUGUCACUUUUGUUCUUUUUUCAGGUUUGAACAGGCUCUGUACUUGUCUCUGUCUGACAUCAGCAGCUCUGUUGUACAGGCUGCAUAGCAGCCCGUAGCUUGUUCCCACCAUCAUGAAUCUGAUAUUCCUUGGCGUACGGGAUGACUCAAAAAGAGGGCCAGGGGGGUGCUGAAGGGCUUCUUAUCUUAAAGUUGCACUUUCUCAGAAACCUCAGCACGUUCUCAGACAAAAUUGAUCCAAGACUUUGAAUAAGCAAUAUAUCUGAGGUCAUGUACAGAGUACAGACUCUACAGACUUUUUUUUCACAGAGAAACACUCCAUGUUUAUCUUUACAACAAUGAGUCAGGCAGCUACAUAAAUCUAAACUCGCAUAAGUUCGUUUAAUGUUAAGUUUGAAAAUUAUCAGUUUAAAUACAUUCACAAAUAGAACCAGUGUGAAAACAAACCAGAACAACAACAUCACAACUCACUGCACAAAAUGAAGUACAUCCGUUUUGGGCUCUGUGGGAUAAAAGUAAUCCAUUUGAUUAAAAUUGCUCAAUAUAACCAGAAUCUCAGAGGUGUUCUCCUCUGAAUGUUUUUGCUUUUACAGCUUUUACACAAAAACAUUUGUUUCAUUUCUUAUGAAACAUGUUAGUGUGCAUAAGUGCCUUUUUUUUUUUUUACCAAGGGUCUGUUUUACAACGCUCGUCAGAUUCAAAAGCCUCCUUUCCUCUUUCUGCAGUGCAGACAUAUUUGUCUCAGUCGAUUGUGGUUUUACAUCACGGUUCCCUAUUUAGAUGUUUGUUACUCAUAAAGAGCAAAAUGUGUGUGUGUGUGUGCAUGUGUGUGUUGGGGUAGGCACUGAGUCUGUCAUAACAGAAUCAAAACGAAAUGCAGACUGUCACAUCAUAGACCACAAAAGAAAAUCAGCCCAACUAAAAUAAACAAAAAGAAAACAUUUGUGUUUUUGUAACGAAAUUGCAAAUGCAAAUGUUUAUGCUUUUUUUUUUGAUUUGCUCAUUUGGUGUUAUAAAGACACGCUGUGGUCUUAUCACUGAUGCUCAAUUAGCUCCUCAAACGAGAACCAAACUUUAGAGAGGCAGUUUGAGUUUUCCACAAAUAAAACACACUAAACAAAAAGACACCCAGCUGGUGAUCAUUCAGUGCAGAAAUGUGUGCACUUUUUUCUUGUCUUGGGAAUGCAUCCUUUCAGACUUUGCAACAGCAUAAAUGUGUCACUUUGAAGUGACAUUUCUAAGAAUUUUGCAGAAAUGCAAUGGAGAAAAAACACCCUGUAACUGUAACUCCUCUUUAACCUGCUACAGCAGAAAAAAGCAUGCUUUUACUUUUGCUUUCUUCUUAACCCAGGUUAUAUAUUUAUGUUUAACAACUUAGACAUUUUAAAAAGGUAAAGCUGUUCAAGUGCUGGUGCAGAGAGCUGAUGGCAGUUGCUAGAUUACCAAACAGGAACCAACAUGCUGAAAAUAAAAAACUUUUUUACUCAGUUCUGGGAGAACUGUUAUGUGACAAGUGUGCAAAAAAACCAAAGUGGUAAGCACAACUGCACUGAGCGUGUUGAUGAUUGUAUAUUUGGUCACUGUGGCUACAGUUUUAAUGUCUGCACCAAGCUGUUUUGAAUGCAGGCAGGAAGCCAAAUCAUGAGAACCUGAACAAGACAGCUUAUUAUUGAAUUAUCUGCAGGACAUGACUAGAUUUAAAUAAAUGUCAGAGUAACAUUUUCAGUAUAGGCCUUCUCAUUCAUACAGUGCUCCGGGAGUGUUCAGACGUAAUGAGAGGUAUGAAUAACUGAUGUUGUUAUGGUUUAGUUUGAAUCUGUGAGUCAGUCCUGUGGGGAAGUCCAUCCAUGCUGUACAUCAUUUCUUAAACAAACCAAGCACCUCUGUGAGGUAUUCACUGCCCCGUACUUCUAAUGCGCUUUCUUGCUACUGCAACACACAGAUUCUUGGUCAUUAUAGAUGACAAUAUAGAUAAACUCUAAAAUUGAGUUUAUAGGUGCCAAAGUCA